GGGUUGUGAGGUUAAGCGACUAAGCGUACACGGUGGAUGCCCUGGCAGUCAGAGGCGAUGAAGGACGUGCUAAUCUGCGAUAAGCGUCGGUAAGGUGAUAUGAACCGUUAUAACCGGCGAUUUCCGAAUGGGGAAACCCAGUGUGUUUCGACACACUAUCAUUAACUGAAUCCAUAGGUUAAUGAGGCGAACCGGGGGAACUGAAACAUCUAAGUACCCCGAGGAAAAGAAAUCAACCGAGAUUCCCCCAGUAGCGGCGAGCGAACGGGGAGCAGCCCAGAGCCUGAAUCAGUGUGUGUGUUAGUGGAAGCGUCUGGAAAGGCGCGCGAUACAGGGUGACAGCCCCGUACACAAAAAUGCACAUAUUGUGAGCUCGAUGAGUAGGGCGGGACACGUGGUAUCCUGUCUGAAUAUGGGGGGACCAUCCUCCAAGGCUAAAUACUCCUGACUGACCGAUAGUGAACCAGUACCGUGAGGGAAAGGCGAAAAGAACCCCGGCGAGGGGAGUGAAAAAGAACCUGAAACCGUGUACGUACAAGCAGUGGGAGCACGCUUAGGCGUGUGACUGCGUACCUUUUGUAUAAUGGGUCAGCGACUUAUAUUCUGUAGCAAGGUUAACCGAAUAGGGGAGCCGAAGGGAAACCGAGUCUUAACUGGGCGUUAAGUUGCAGGGUAUAGACCCGAAACCCGGUGAUCUAGCCAUGGGCAGGUUGAAGGUUGGGUAACACUAACUGGAGGACCGAACCGACUAAUGUUGAAAAAUUAGCGGAUGACUUGUGGCUGGGGGUGAAAGGCCAAUCAAACCGGGAGAUAGCUGGUUCUCCCCGAAAGCUAUUUAGGUAGCGCCUCGUGAAUUCAUCUCCGGGGGUAGAGCACUGUUUCGGCAAGGGGGUCAUCCCGACUUACCAACCCGAUGCAAACUGCGAAUACCGGAGAAUGUUAUCACGGGAGACACACGGCGGGUGCUAACGUCCGUCGUGAAGAGGGAAACAACCCAGACCGCCAGCUAAGGUCCCAAAGUCAUGGUUAAGUGGGAAACGAUGUGGGAAGGCCCAGACAGCCAGGAUGUUGGCUUAGAAGCAGCCAUCAUUUAAAGAAAGCGUAAUAGCUCACUGGUCGAGUCGGCCUGCGCGGAAGAUGUAACGGGGCUAAACCAUGCACCGAAGCUGCGGCAGCGACGCUUAUGCGUUGUUGGGUAGGGGAGCGUUCUGUAAGCCUGUGAAGGUGUGCUGUGAGGCAUGCUGGAGGUAUCAGAAGUGCGAAUGCUGACAUAAGUAACGAUAAAGCGGGUGAAAAGCCCGCUCGCCGGAAGACCAAGGGUUCCUGUCCAACGUUAAUCGGGGCAGGGUGAGUCGACCCCUAAGGCGAGGCCGAAAGGCGUAGUCGAUGGGAAACAGGUUAAUAUUCCUGUACUUGGUGUUACUGCGAAGGGGGGACGGAGAAGGCUAUGUUGGCCGGGCGACGGUUGUCCCGGUUUAAGCGUGUAGGCUGGUUUUCCAGGCAAAUCCGGAAAAUCAAGGCUGAGGCGUGAUGACGAGGCACUACGGUGCUGAAGCAACAAAUGCCCUGCUUCCAGGAAAAGCCUCUAAGCAUCAGGUAACAUCAAAUCGUACCCCAAACCGACACAGGUGGUCAGGUAGAGAAUACCAAGGCGCUUGAGAGAACUCGGGUGAAGGAACUAGGCAAAAUGGUGCCGUAACUUCGGGAGAAGGCACGCUGAUAUGUAGGUGAAGCGACUUGCUCGUGGAGCUGAAAUCAGUCGAAGAUACCAGCUGGCUGCAACUGUUUAUUAAAAACACAGCACUGUGCAAACACGAAAGUGGACGUAUACGGUGUGACGCCUGCCCGGUGCCGGAAGGUUAAUUGAUGGGGUCAGCGCAAGCGAAGCUCUUGAUCGAAGCCCCGGUAAACGGCGGCCGUAACUAUAACGGUCCUAAGGUAGCGAAAUUCCUUGUCGGGUAAGUUCCGACCUGCACGAAUGGCGUAAUGAUGGCCAGGCUGUCUCCACCCGAGACUCAGUGAAAUUGAACUCGCUGUGAAGAUGCAGUGUACCCGCGGCAAGACGGAAAGACCCCGUGAACCUUUACUAUAGCUUGACACUGAACAUUGAGCCUUGAUGUGUAGGAUAGGUGGGAGGCUUUGAAGUGUGGACGCCAGUCUGCAUGGAGCCGACCUUGAAAUACCACCCUUUAAUGUUUGAUGUUCUAACGUGGACCCGUGAUCCGGGUUGCGGACAGUGUCUGGUGGGUAGUUUGACUGGGGCGGUCUCCUCCUAAAGAGUAACGGAGGAGCACGAAGGUUGGCUAAUCCUGGUCGGACAUCAGGAGGUUAGUGCAAUGGCAUAAGCCAGCUUGACUGCGAGCGUGACGGCGCGAGCAGGUGCGAAAGCAGGUCAUAGUGAUCCGGUGGUUCUGAAUGGAAGGGCCAUCGCUCAACGGAUAAAAGGUACUCCGGGGAUAACAGGCUGAUACCGCCCAAGAGUUCAUAUCGACGGCGGUGUUUGGCACCUCGAUGUCGGCUCAUCACAUCCUGGGGCUGAAGUAGGUCCCAAGGGUAUGGCUGUUCGCCAUUUAAAGUGGUACGCGAGCUGGGUUUAGAACGUCGUGAGACAGUUCGGUCCCUAUCUGCCGUGGGCGCUGGAGAACUGAGGGGGGCUGCUCCUAGUACGAGAGGACCGGAGUGGACGCAUCACUGGUGUUCGGGUUGUCAUGCCAAUGGCACUGCCCGGUAGCUAAAUGCGGAAGAGAUAAGUGCUGAAAGCAUCUAAGCACGAAACUUGCCCCGAGAUGAGUUCUCCCUGACUCCUUGAGAGUCCUGAAGGAACGUUGAAGACGACGACGUUGAUAGGCCGGGUGUGUAAGCGCAGCGAUGCGUUGAGCUAACCGGUACUAAUGAACCGUGAGGCUUAACCUUACAACGCCGAAGCUGUU
rnacentral:rRNA from 1 species